rnacentral:rRNA from 1 species
UAAUACGGACCGUGCGAACGUUAUUCGGAAUCACUGGGCUUAAAGGGUACGUAGGCGGUCUUGCAAGUGGGGUGUGAAAUCCCUCGGCUCAACCGGGGAACUGCGCUCCAAACUGCAAGACUUGAGGGAGACAGAGGUGAGCGGAACUGAUGGUGGAGCGGUGAAAUGCGUUGAGAUCAUCAGGAACACCAGAGGCGAAGGCGGCUCACUGGGUCUCUUCUGACGCUGAGGUACGAAAGCUAGGGUAGCGAACGGGAUUAGAUACCCCGGUAGUCCUAGCUGUAAACGAUGAGCACUGGGUCGAGGAGCCGUCCACAGUUUCUCGGCCGUAGCGAAAGUGUUAAGUGCUCCGCCUGGGGAGUAUGGUCGCAAGGCUG